AUGGUGUACGGAUCUGCCAACGCCGGCAAUGGCCAGGGCGCGGGGCUCCACGUGGACAUGCAGAAGCUGUCCCUGGAGGGGAAGAAGGAUGCCGCCGGCGCAGCCGACGCCGCCAAGCCCUCCGGGAUGCAGUACGGGUCUGCCAACACCGGCAAUUCGCAGACCGUGGAGCCGCACGUCGACAGGUCGAUAACGCCCCUGCUCCAGGAGGCCAUGGAUCCCAACUUUUUCUACCAACCCAAUGGAUAUCCCUCACCAGCCUACUACUACCCUAGCGGUUAUGAUGGCUCGACCAAUGAGUGGGACACUCGGUAUGCUGGUCAUGAAGGAAUGGAGGUGCCCCAGCAGAGUGUGUAUGGUGACAUGUACCAUGGAUAUGGUUAUGCUCCCUACGGCCCGUAUCCUUCAGGUUCUCCUGUCCCAACCGUUGGGCAUGAGGGGCAGUCAUAUGGCACACAGCAAUAUCAGUACCCUGGUCAGUAUUAUCAACAGCCGGCUCCAACCAAUGCGAUGCAUGGUGUUAACAGUGCCAAUCCUCAAUCUGAGCUGCCUUCCGCUGCGGCUCACCAGCCACGUGCUACGGUAGUUUCAGCAAAAGUAACUACUGGGACUGCUAGUGGGAUUGCAAAUGCUGCCAGUUCACUACCGCGUAAGCAAACUCACCACCAUGUAUCAGUGACCAACAGUGGUUCAUAUGGACGAGGGCCCUCGCAAGGUGGACCUUCCGCUAGCAAUUUUGGUCACACUGGUCACCGUUCUCCAGCUCAGUGGUAUGAUGGGCCGGUCUAUUCUAAUGGGCAUCAGGGAUCAAUUGCUAGUUCCACAUCUUAUGGUUCUAAUUCAUCUUCAGCAAAAAAUCAGAGUCACCGUCCAACAACAAACCUCAUGGGUAUGCAUACACAUGUGCCUUCAUCUGGGAUGGGGCUGACCUCUCCUAGUUAUUCUAGUAGGAUGUACCCUGAUAGCAGAUUGUAUGGUCAGUAUGGUCAGUACGGGAACACACUGAAAGCUGGACUUGGUUUUGGUUCUAAUGUGUAUAACUCGAGAAAUAAUGGACAAUGGGGAGUCGUGGAUACAGUCAAAUACAAGCCUAGAAACCGGGCAACUUUUGGGUUUGGCAGUGAGAAUCAAGAUGGCUUCACUGAGCUUAACAGAGGACCAAGAUCUGGUGGAUUCAGACACCAAAAACCAUUUGGACCUACUGUCACUAUUGCUGUGAAGGGGCAGGUCCUCCCUUCAGCUGGGAAACAAGAGAAUAGCGUCCUUCCAGAUAAGAGUCAAUUUAACCAGGAAGGCUUUUCUGCAACAUACAAGGAUGCAAAGUUCUUUGUUAUCAAAUCUUACAGCGAGGAUGAUGUGCACAAGAGUAUCAAGUACAAUGUGUGGGCAAGCACUCCUAAUGGAAAUAAGAAGCUGGAUGCUGGAUACCGAGAAGCUCAGGAGAAAUCCAGUGAAUGCCCGGUGUUCUUAUUUUUCUCUGUGAACACAAGUGGUCAAUUUGUUGGUGUUGCCGAAAUGGUUGGUCCUGUUGACUUUGACAAGACGGUAGAUUAUUGGCAACAAGACAAGUGGAAUGGCUGCUUUUCAAUCAAGUGGCACAUCGUGAAGGAUAUCCCCAACAACAUUCUGAAGCAUAUUACGUUGGACAACAAUGACAAUAAGCCUGUGACAAACAGCCGUGACACACAAGAGGUUAAGCUUGAGCAAGGUCUUCAAAUGCUCAAGAUUUUCAAGGAACAUGUCAGCAAGACCUCAAUUUUGGAUGACUUUGCAUUUUACGAGAACCGACAGAAGUUGAUGCAAGAAAAGAGAGCAAAGCAACAACCGCUUCAGGGGCAGGGCGUUGAUGAGAAGGAGAAGAGCGCAGUUAACGGGAACUCCGCUGCACAGAAGCAGACACCGAGCAAGGAGAGCACCGCCCCUGCCAUCGGGGAAGAGCCGAACGCUUCCAAACCCACCACAGCUGAAAGCGGCGUCGCGAGUGCCAACUAG
rnacentral:rRNA from 1 species